rnacentral:tRNA from 1 species
GCGUCAGUAGCUCAGUCGGAUAGAGCAUCGGUCUUCUAAACCGAGGGUCGCAGGUUCGAAUCCUGUCUGACGCA